GACGAACGCUGGCGGCGUGCUUAACACAUGCAAGUCGAACGAUGAAGCUGGAGCUUGCUCCGGUGGAUUAGUGGCGAACGGGUGAGUAACACGUGAGCAAUCUGCCCUUGACUCUGGGAUAACUGCGGGAAACUGUAGCUAAUACCGGAUACGAGGCUCGAAGGCAUCUUCGGGUCUGGAAAGAAUUUCGGUCAAGGAUGAGCUCGCGGCCUAUCAGCUUGUUGGUGAGGUAAUGGCUCAACAAGGCUACGACGGGUAGCCGGCCUGAGAGGGGGACCGGCCACACUGGUACUGAGACACGGCCCAGACUCCUACGGGAGGCAGCAGUGGGGAAUAUUGCACAAUGGGCGAAAGCCUGAUGCAGCAACGCCGCGUGAGGGAUGAAGGCCUUCGGGUUGUAAACCUCUUUUAGCAGGGAAGAAGCGAAAGUGACGGUACCUGCAGAAAAAGCACCGGCUAACUACGUGCCAGCCGCCGCCGUAA
rnacentral:rRNA from 1 species